CAAAUACUGAAAGAAACGUUUUAGCUGUAAAAGCUGAUAUACUUUAUAAGUUUUAACUCAACAGUUCAAGCUAAACAACAACUAUUUCUUCAAAGAAAAUGCAGUCCUAUCUGUAAUGUAAGAUAGAGGGGGAGUAAAAGAGAAUAUCAUU